AUUUUUUUUUCACUUCUCUCAUUGACUUCUCACCCCAAACCCCGGCCUGGUCUGCUUGGCCAGUUUCGCAAGCAUUCCUGCAAGUCUCGCGAUGUUGCGCCUCUGUUUACAAACUCUGUGCUUCGACUUCUGCCAAUGGGAAUUAAUUAUAUUACAGAUAACACCGAAACCAUAGUGAAGAUAAGAACUGCAUCUGGAUCAGUGGCGCUACCCAAGCUGAAUUUGAACACAGAGGGGCUUGGGGGGACUAACCCCAACUGCAAAGGCCCCGCUACAUUGGGUCCCCAUGACUCCUGUUGUACCAGGGGCUUGGAACAGAACACUGGCAUCCGCCACUCGGAUAGAUGGUAGCGGGCACGGAAGGCCACGAGGCGGGCAUAGUAGGCUGGCGCGGGGAUGGAGACGGAGCGGGUACAGCGCACGUAGGUGUGGCACAGCUGGUAAGUGAGGAUUUGCAGCUCGUCGG